UCCGCACUCCCUGUGACCCAGGACGUCAUGAUGCCUGUCUGUUUUCUCAAUGAUAACUUGGCAGAAGAAGAGAGAGGCUGCCAGGUUCUCCUCGGGUGGUUACGUGAUGUCCCUAGAAAACAAUCAAGUCAGAUCGAUGACAAAACUAUUUAACUGGAGAAGCACAUUAUGGUGAAGAAGAACCUGAUGUGGGGGUGAAGAGGUGUUAUCUCCUGUACCUAGAAGAGCCAUUGUCACAGAGUAGGUGUCCAGUAAGUGUGUGGUCAAUGAAUGAUUGGCCAAAGAGAAAUGCACCAUGGCAGAAAUUCAAAUGAAGCCUGCAGUCUGUAUCUUUCUGGGUCACUGCCAACUGGUCUCACCUGGACUUCCUGGAUAGCUGGGAAAGCAACACCUACCACUUGCUGGACUUCCUGAUGCUGACUCCUGUAGGAACCCCAGCCUGUCUCCAUGGAAAGCUGAUUCAAAGAUGGAACCAAUAUAUAUGAGAACAGACAUAAGAGCUCCAGAGAAUUAUUCCAAGAAAGCAAGACUGGAAUCUAAUCAAGGAACUGGCAACAUGUGACCAGCUCAGUUUUCAUAAUUGCCGUGGAUCAGUAACUGCUUUAGCUUCCCAUCCCACCUCCCACUUUUCUGACUKCGAGUGUUUACACAGUUCUCUCUCUACCACCAUCAUCUAUGAAGUAUACGUGUGUGAGGAGGGAUGGCAGAUAACUUAUCUUCAGAUUAAGAGAAACCAUUUUCAAAGAACUACCCCCAGGAAGACCAAUCCAUAGCUGGACCUGAUUUAGAUGACAAAAUCCUGAACUUUAAAACCAAUGUUACAAUAAGAAGAAACUCUGGGAGUCUUGGGAAAGAAUAGUUUUCAUUUUGGAAAAAAAUAAGUAGUUAUUACCAGUAGGCUCACAAAUCAACUGUGGUUGAUUCAAGGUGUUCACCAAGUCCUUAUUACUUUUUCCUUGAAGAAUUCUGACUGGAGAGAGGAGGACCCUGUAUUAGUCAGUUUUCUGUUUMGAUAAUGAAAUACCUGAGAGUGGGGAACUUUAUAAAAAAAAAUAGUUUUAUUUAACUCACCAUUCUAGAGGUUAAAGGCAAGACACUGGCAUCAGCUCAGCUCCGAUGGAGACUUGAUGGCAGAGGGUAUUACGAUGGCAAGAGCAUGAACAGGAGAAAUCACAUGGCAAUACUGGAAGCUAGAGGGAGGGGCACGGGCACUGCCUCGUAAGGGUCUUACUACCUCUCAAUAGGGCCACGCUGGGUAACAAGCUCUUAACACACAAACCCUUGGGGGACACACUCAAAUCAUAUUAAAACCAUAAAACACUUCUAAUACAUUUAUAAAUUAGAUUCACUGCAUAGAUUUGGGGCAUUUUCUAGCCUUGUAUAAGAAAAAGUAAAAAAUGUUAAGAUUUGAAGUUUACUGCUAGUUUGAUAUAUGAAACUAUUAAUGCGGAGUAGUAUUAUGGUUGAAUAUGAGGUGUCCCCCCAAAAGCUCAUGUUAAUAUAGGAAUGUUCAAAAGUGAAAUGACCAGAUUAUGAGGGCUGUAACUUAAUCAGUAGAUUCGUCCACUUGAUGGAUUCAUAAUUUGAGUGGAUUAGUGGGUGGUAACUGUAAGCAGGUGGGCAUGACUGG